GGUGAACCUGCGGAGGGAUCAU
rnacentral:rRNA from 1 species